GCCGUGGAUUUGAGUGCCUGUCAGUCCUCCUCUGGGUAAAUAGCUACUAGGACAAUUGCUGGAUCUUAGCGUAGUUCUAGAUUUCACUUUUUAUGGACCCUCCAUACUGUCUUGGUACGAUGCAUUUUAGUCAUUAAUGGAACACGUUUAUUGAUGCUCCUCAGGAAAUGAUGACUGAUAAAGCAGAGGAGUCUGCUGUCAGGCUCCAAAGCCAAAUGAAACGUCCUGGGAAACCCAUCACUCCUCCUCCGUCUAAGAAAAUGCAGAGGAUGGCGCUGCUGUCACUGAAAGAGAAAGGAGAGGAAGCAUCCCACCCCAGAGGCUCAGCCAUGUCCUUGGAAGAUGGAACUGAUGACUGAUAAAGCAGAGGAGUCUGCUGUCGGGGCUCGAAGCCAAAUGAAACGUCCUGGAAAAUCCGUCGUUCCACCUCCAUUUAAGAGAAUACUGAGGAUGACGCUGCUGUCAGAGAAAAAGGGAAGCGAGGGAGCAUCCCACCCCAGGGGCUCAGCCAUGUCCUUGGAAGAUGGUGAGGAUGCCUGUCGUCCCCUCCCCUUCCUUCCGGACCCAGGGGAGUUCUGUCCUAGCUCCUCUACACCAUGGGAACACUUCCCAUCAAGGUCACCAGCCCUGGGUGAUGCUGCCAUCAGUUUCUCAGCCCCACUGGACCAGGUGUUCAUUGUGCCCUUCCUGGAAAGGCUCCUGGCUUCCCAAACUCCACAGUCUACAUGUUUCCUUCUCCUUAUUGAACAUGCCUUUUCAUUCUUCUUUGUGCUCUCUUUCUAUCAAGACUCUUAAUACUGUCAUUACCCUUGAUUCCCUUGUUACACUGCCCCUCAUUCCAUACUGCCUCCUCCCUCAGCCACAUGCUCCACUAGCUUCUGAGCUUAUGUCCUGCUUUCCCACUUGACCCUAGGAGCCCAUCUGUUGCCAUGUGACCAGAGUCACCAUGUCCACGCAGAAAUUAGAUGAUGACAUGUGUAUCCUUAGUCUGCAG
rnacentral:lncRNA from 1 species